GGCUGGUCCGAAGGUAGUGAGUUAUCUCACUUGAUUGUUCACAGUCAGUUACAGAUUGAACUUCUUGUUCUACUACUUUCCCCCCUCCUCACUACUGCACUUGACUAGUCUUAA
rnacentral:Y_RNA from 1 species